rnacentral:rRNA from 1 species
GACGAACGCUGACGGCGUGCUUAACACAUGCAAGUCGAACGGAAAGGCCCCUUUGGGGGUACUCGAGUGGCGAACGGGUGAGUAACACGUGAGUAACCUGCCCUUGACUUCGGGAUAACUUCAGGAAACUGGGGCUAAUACCGGAUAGGAAUCCUUGCUGCAUGGUGGGGGUUGGAAAGCUUCGGCGGUUUUGGAUGGACUCGCGGCUUAUCAGCUUGUUGGUGGGGUAGUGGCUUACCAAGGCUUUGACGGGUAGCCGGCCUGAGAGGGCGACCGGCCACAUUGGGACUGAGAUACGGCCCAGACUCCUACGGGAGGCAGCAGGGGGGAAUAUUGCACAAUGGGCGGAAGCCUGAUGCAGCAACGCCGCGUGCGGGAUGACGGCCUUCGGGUUGUAAACCGCUUUCAGCAGGGGCGAAGCUUGUGGUGACGGUACCUGCAGAAGAAGCACCGGCUAACUACGUG